GUGGGAGGGGGCUUGCUCCCGAUGGCAGUGUGUCAGCCAAUGCAUAUUUGGCUGAACCACCGCUAUCGGGAGCAAGCCCCCUCCCAC
rnacentral:misc_RNA from 1 species